AGAGUUUGAUCCUGGCUCAGAUUGAACGCUGGCGGCAGGCCUAACACAUGCAAGUCGAGCGGUAGAGAGGUGCUUGCACCUCUUGAGAGCGGCGGACGGGUGAGUAAUACCUAGGAAUCUGCCUGGUAGUGGGGGAUAACGUUCGGAAACGGACGCUAAUACCGCAUACGUCCUACGGGAGAAAGCAGGGGACCUUCGGGCCUUGCGCUAUCAGAUGAGCCUAGGUCGGAUUAGCUAGUUGGUGAGGUAAUGGCUCACCAAGGCUACGAUCCGUAACUGGUCUGAGAGGAUGAUCAGUCACACUGGAACUGAGACACGGUCCAGACUCCUACGGGAGGCAGCAGUGGGGAAUAUUGGACAAUGGGCGAAAGCCUGAUCCAGCUAUGCCGCGUGUGUGAAGAAGGUCUUCGGAUUGUAAAGCACUUUAAGUUGGGAGGAAGGGCAUUAACCUAAUACGUUAGUGUUUUGACGUUACCGACAGAAUAAGCACCGGCUAACUC
rnacentral:rRNA from 1 species